GACGAACGCUGGCGGCGUGCUUAACACAUGCAAGUCGAACGGACAGGCCCUGCUUUUGUUGGGUUCUCGAUUGGCGAACGGGUGAGUAACACGUGAGUAACCUGCCCUUGUCUUUGGGAUAACUUCAGGAAACUGGGGCUAAUACCGGAUAGGAGCUCUUGCUGCAUGUUGGUGGUUGGAAAGUUUCGGCGGUUGGGGAUGUACUCGCGGCUUAUCGGCUUGUUGGUGUGGUAGUGGCUUACCAAGGCUUUGACGGGUAGCCGGCCUGAGAGGGUUACCGGCCACAUUGGGACUGAGAUACGGCCCAGAAUCCUACGGGAGGCAGCAGGGGGGAGUAUUGCACAAUGGGCGGAAGCCUGAUGCAGAAACGCCGCGUGCGGAAUGACGGCCUUCGGGUUGUAAACAGCUUUGGAAUGUGACGAAGCGUGAGUGACGGUAAUGGGUAAAGAAGCACCGGCUAACUACGUG
rnacentral:rRNA from 1 species